UGCGGAGGGAUCAUUACCGAGUUUACAACUCCCAAACCCCUGUGAACAUACCACUUGUUGCCUCGGCGGAUCAGCCCGCUCCCGGUAAAACGGGACGGCCCGCCAGAGGACCCCUAAACUCUGUUUCUAUAUGUAACUUUUGAGUAAAACCAUAAAUAAAUCAAAACUUUCAACAACGGAUCUCUUGGUUCUGGCAUCGAUGAAGAACGCAGCAAAAUGCGAUAAGUAAUGUGAAUUGCAGAAUUCAGUGAAUCAUCGAAUCUUUGAACGCACAUUGCGCCCGCCAGUAUUCUGGCGGGCAUGCCUGUUCGAGCGUCAUUUCAACCCUCAAGCACAGCUUGGUGUUGGGACUCGCGUUAAUUCGCGUUCCUCAAAUUGAUUGGCGGUCACGUCGAGCUUCCAUAGCGUAGUAGUAAAACCCUCGUUACUGGUAAUCGUCGCGGCCACGCCGUUAAACCCCAACUUCUGAAUGUUGACCUCGGAUCAGGUAGGAAUACCCGCUGAACUUAAGCAUAUCAA
rnacentral:rRNA from 1 species